UACGUAGGGUGCAAGCGUUGUCCGGAAUUAUUGGGCGUAAAGAGCUCGUAGGCGGUUCGUCGCGUCGGCUGUGAAAUCCCGAGGCUCAACCUCGGGUCUGCAGUCGAUACGGGCGGACUGGAGUUCGGCAGGGGAGACUGGAAUUCCUGGUGUAGCGGUGAAAUGCGCAGAUAUCAGGAGGAACACCGGUGGCGAAGGCGGGUCUCUGGGCCGAAUACUGACACUGAGGAGCGAAAGCGUGGGGAGCGAACAGG
rnacentral:rRNA from 1 species